ACUCAAAGGAAUUGACGGGGGCCCGCACAAGCAGUGGAGUAUGUGGUUUAAUUCGAAGCAACGCGAAGAACCUUACCAGGUCUUGACAUCGAGUGAAGAUACUAGAGAUAGUAUCGUCCUUCGGGACACGAAGACAGGUGGUGCAUGGUUGUCGUCAGCUCGUGUCGUGAGAUGUUGGGUUAAGUCCCGCAACGAGCGCAACCCCUAUCAUUAGUUGCUACGCAAGAGCACUCUAAUGAGACUGCCGUUGACAAAACGGAGGAAGGUGGGGAUGACGUCAAAUCAUCAUGCCCCUUAUGACCUGGGCUACACACGUACUACAAUGGCGAUUAACAGAGUGUUGCGACACCGCGAGGUGAAGCUAAUCACCAAAAAUCGUCUCAGUUCGGAUUGUAGGCUGCAACUCGCCUACAUGAAGCUGGAAUUGCUAGUAAUCGCGAAUCAGAAUGUCGCGGUGAAUACGUUCCCGGGCCUUGUACACACCGCCCGU
rnacentral:rRNA from 1 species